rnacentral:rRNA from 1 species
CCUACGGGAGGCUGCAGUGGGGAAUAUUGGGCAAUGGAGGCAACUCUGACCCAGCAAUGCCGCGUGAAUGAAGAAGGUCUUCGGAUUGUAAAGUUCUGUAAUUGGGGACGAAAAAAAUGACGGUACCCAAGGAAUAAGCACCGGCUAACUACGUGCCAGCAGCCGCGGUAAUACGUAGGGGGCAAGCGUUGUUCGGAAUGACGGGGCGGAAAGGGUGUGAUGGUGGUGUAGCAAGUUAGAAGUGAAAUACCCAGAGCUUAACUCAGGUGUCGCUUCUGAAACUGCUAUACUUGAGUGCAGUAGAGGAAAGUGGAAUUCCUAGUGGAGCGGUGAAAUGCGUAGAUAUUAGGAGGAACAUCAGUGGCGAAGGCGACUUUCUGGACUGUAACUGACGCUGAGGCACGAAAGUGUGGGGAGCAAACAGGAUUAGAUACCCGUGUAGUC